rnacentral:tRNA from 1 species
GGAGCUCAGUGGUAGAGCACAUGCCUAUGAUGCAUGAGACAGUUGGUCCAAUUCCAGUACCA